UACGGAGGGAGCAAGCGUUACUCGGAAUUAUUGGGCGUAAAGGGCGCGUAGGCGAUUUGAAAAGUCUUGUGUGAAAGCCCCGGGCUUAACUCGGGAAGUGCACAAGAAACUGUUGGAUUUGAGUUCCGGAGAGGAAGGCAGAAUUCCCGGUGUAGCGGUGAAAUGCGUAGAUAUCAGGAGGAAUACCAGUGGCGAAAGCGGCACCCUAGCAUUUUUCUGACGCUCAUGUGCGAAAGCGUGGGGAGCGAACGGG
rnacentral:rRNA from 1 species